rnacentral:rRNA from 1 species
UACGGAGGGUGCGAGCGUUAAUCGGAAUUACUGGGCGUAAAGCGUGCGUAGGCGGUUUGUUAAGCAAGAUGUGAAAGCCCCGGGCUCAACCUGGGAACUGCAUUUUGAACUGGCAGACUAGAGUAUUGUAGAGGGUGGUGGAAUUUCCAGUGUAGCGGUGAAAUGCGUAGAGAUUGGAAGGAACAUCAGUGGCGAAGGCGGCCACCUGGACAAAUACUGACGCUGAGGCACGAAAGCGUGGGGAGCAAACAGG